rnacentral:rRNA from 1 species
UACGUAGGGCGCAAGCGUUAUCCGGAAUUAUUGGGCGUAAAGAGCUCGUAGGCGGCCUGUCGCGCCGGGAGUGAAAGCCCACUGCUUAACGGUGGGUCUGCUUCCGGUACGGGCGGGCUGGAGUAUGGCAGGGGAGACUGGAAUUCCUGGUGUAGCGGUGGAAUGCGCAAAUAUCAGGAGGAACACCGGUGGCGAAGGCGGGUCUCUGGGCCAUUACUGACGCUGAGGAGCGGAAGCGUGGGGAGCGAACAGG